rnacentral:rRNA from 1 species
GGAGGCAGCAGUAGGGAAUCUUCCACAAUGGACGGAAGUCUGAUGGAGCAACGCCGCGUGAGUGAAGAAGGUUUUCGGAUCGUAAAACUCUGUUGUAAGGGAAGAACACGUACGAGAGUAACUGCUCGUACCUUGACGGUACCUUAUUAGAAAGCCACGGCUAACUACGUGCCAGCAGCCGCGGUAAUACGUAGGUGGCAAGCGUUGUCCGGAAUUAUUGGGCGUAAAGUGCGCGCAGGCGGUCCUUUAAGUCUGAUGUGAAAGCCCACGGCUCAACCGAGGAGGGUCAUUGGAAACUGGGGGACUUGAGUACAGAAGAGGAAAGCGGAAUUCCACGUGUAGCGGUGAAAUGCGUAGAGAUGUGGAGGAACACCAGUGGCGAAGGCGGCUUUCUGGUCUGUAACUGAAGCUGAGGCGCGAAAGCGUGGGGAGCAAACAGGAUUAGAUACCCUGGUAGUCCACACCGCAAACGAUGAGAGCUAAGUGUUAGGGGGUUUCCGCCCCUUAGUGCUGCAGCUAACGCAUUAAGCACUCCGCCUGGGGAGUACGGCCGCAAGGUUGAAACUCAAGGACUUGACGGGGGACCGCACAAGCGGUGGAGCAUGUGGUUUAAUUCGAAAGCAAUACGAAGAACCUUACCAGGUCUUGACAUCCCUCUGAUCGGCUUAUAAGUUAAGUCUUUCCCCUUCCGGGACUAUGGUGCCCGGUGGUGCCUGUAUGACGUCAGCUCGUUACCUGUAAAGUAGAGUUUACUCCCCUCUAUCGAAUGCAUACCCUUGAUCUU